UACGUAGGGUGCGAGCGUUAAUCGGAAUUACUGGGCGUAAAGCGUGCGCAGGCGGUGAUGUAAGACAGAUGUGAAAUCCCCGGGCUCAACCUGGGACCUGCAUUUGUGACUGCAUCGCUGGAGUACGGUAGAGGGGGAUGGAAUUCCGCGUGUAGCAGUGAAAUGCGUAGAUAUGCGGAGGAACACCGAUGGCGAAGGCAGGUCUCUGGGCUGACACUGACGCUCAUGCACGAAAGCGUGGGGAGCAAACAGG
rnacentral:rRNA from 1 species